rnacentral:rRNA from 1 species
GAGUUUGAUCAUGGCUCACAUUNAACGCUGGCGGCAGGCCUAACACAUGCAAGUCGGACGGUAACAGGAUUAGCUUGCUAAUUGCUGACGAGUGGCGGACGGGUGAGUAAUACUUAGGGAUCUGCCUUUGUGAGGGGGAUAACCAUUGGAAACGAUGGCUAAUACCGCAUAAUGUCUACGGACCAAAGGGGGCUUUUAGCUCUCGCACGAAGAGGAACCUAAGCGAGAUUAGCUAGUUGGUGGGGUAAAGGCUCACCAAGGCGACGAUCUCUAGCUGUUCUGAGAGGAAGAUCAGCCACACUGGGACUGAGGCACGGCCCAGACUCCUACGGGAGGCAGCAGUGGGGAAUAUUGCACAAUGGGGGAAACCCUGAUGCAGCCAUGCCGCGUGUGUGAAGAAGGCCUUCGGGUUGUAAAGCACUUUCAGUCGUGAGGAAAGGUUGGUAGUUAAUACCUGCCAACUAUGACGUUAGCGACAGAAGAAGCACCGGCUAACUCCGUGCCAGCAGCCGCGGUAAUACGGAGGGUGCGAGCGUUAAUCGGAAUUACUGGGCGUAAAGCGCACGCAGGCGGUUUGUUAAGCUAGAUGUGAAAGCCCCGGGCUCAACCUGGGAGGGUCAUUUAGAACUGGCAGACUAGAGUCUUGGAGAGGGGAGUGGAAUUCCAGGUGUAGCGGUGAAAUGCGUAGAGAUCUGGAGGAACAUCAGUGGCGAAGGCGACUCCCUGGCCAAAGACUGACGCUCAUGUGCGAAAGUGUGGGUAGCGAACAGGAUUAGAUACCCUGGUAGUCCACACCGUAAACGCUGUCUACUAGCUGUUUGUGUAUUUAAUACGUGAGUAGCGAAGCUAACGCGCUAAGUAGACCGCCUGGGGAGUACNGCCGCAAGGUUAAAACUCAAUGAAUUG